rnacentral:siRNA from 1 species
UCAACUGUUUCUGCCGACGCUC